AGGGCCUCCUGGAGAAAUCGGUAAUGAAGUGCAGCUGUGAACUCCGGUUUUGGAAUGUAGCAGUGGCACUUGAAGGGCCGCUUCGAGGAUCCGAUGGUGACAACACGUGGAAAGACAGAAAAGUGGGCCACGAUGCUGCAGGUCUGUUUUCUGUCCCUCUGUCUUCGCCUUUGCUGGACGUCGUAGGAGGCUUUCAGCAGGAAAGAGAGACCAUUGGCCUGUGUGAGCUCUUUGAGGGCACCGAUCCCGUCGGGUGAGCCCCAUUCGUGGGACCUCAUCUAACCUACCACCUUCCAAAUGCCCCCCCUCCAAAGACCAGGGCACGGGGCGGGGGGGAUAGGGCUUCACCGGCCCAGCAGGGGCACAAACACUCAGUCUGCAACAGCAUCUCACGACGCUCUUGUGAAGCUUGUGGUGUCAUUGUCGCGUCUGGUGGCUGAUGACAUGGGAGCCCUGGGCUGGUGCUGCCAGCCGCCUCCCUGCAGGCCAUGCAGCCCACGAGGCCAUGGAAGAGGCCCUCCCUGCCUUUCUCCCCCUUUGGGGUCCCUGCAAGACCGGGGCCCACGUGCCCUAAGGAAGACGAGUGCGCGCCCGCGGACCCGUCUCCCAGCACCAGGUCCGACCUUGGCGGCAGAUGCCUCUUUGUCCGCGCCGAGCCCCAUGGCCAGCUCGAAUAAUUGGAUUUUAAUAAAACGGAUGGGAGCGCGGGAGCAGUUCACCACCCUGGCCUGUGCCGAGGCCCUGCAAUUAAACCGAUUAUGUCUUGAGAG
rnacentral:lncRNA from 1 species